CAUAUGCAAAAUCCUCACAAGAGAAGCAAAAAAUUUCCCUCUUUUAUCAUAAUUAAGGAGAAAUUCGACGAGCCCAGAAGAAAUUUCCAAUACCAAAGCUCUGAAGAAGAAUCCCCGAGUUAAUUGAUGGCCACUCAAGGACUGUCAGUGUUCUUAAUUACCCCCAUUUCUUCAGCUGCAGCUCAAUCCCGCACAAAAUCCUUGGAACAUUCGUUGAAUUUCAAUCCACAGAGUACUUUUUUGGGCGCCAAGCUCUCGACCCAGCUCUCAAAUUCCAGUCUUGUUGCUUCGAAACGACGUAGUUACGCUGUCGCCACCAUAUCCUUCAGCUUGCCCAGCAUAAAGACAGAUGGGCUUAAAAAUGAUGAGAGGGCCAAAUGGUCAGCUAGGGCGAUUAAAUCGUUCGCUAUGGGCGAAUUGGAGGCACGGAAGCUCAAGUAUCCGAACACCGGGACAGAGGCUCUACUCAUGGGCAUUUUGGUUGAAGGAACAAGUUUGGCAGCAAAGUUUUUGAGGGACAAUGGCAUUACACUCUUUAAGGUGCGGGAUGAGAUUGUAAAGCUGAUAGGGAAGUCAGACAUGUAUUUUUUCAGUCCUGAGCAUCCUCCAUUGACUGAACCUGCCCAGAAGGCUCUUGAUUGGGCAGUCGAGGAGAAGCUGAAGUCAGUUGCGAUGCAGGCGAAAGCGGUGAAAUAACAGCAGCACAUAUACUUCUCGGAAUUUGGGCACAAAAAGAGGCUGCAGGUCAUAAGAUACUGGCUGGAUUUGGUUUUGAUGACGAGAAGGCUGCAGAACUAGCUAAAAACAUGGAUAAGGAUACAAUUUACAAGUGACCUCUUCAAUUUGUCUGAGAAUCUUCACUCAUUCAUUCAGGUACAUUUGAAAGGGAAAUGGUUCUUGGCUGAAUGAUAUCGGUUUAUAGAUUAAUUUCAACAGGAAUGACGCUUUCUGUAGCUUUUGUUUUGAUAUUUCCAUCAUACACUGUAAACCCUGAUAUUCUUAAUGUCACCAUUGAUUAUACCCGCCUGCUUUAUGAAGUCGUAUCUGUAGCUUUA